rnacentral:rRNA from 1 species
GGGUAGCUAUGUAUGGAACGGAUAAGCGCUGAAAGCAUCUAAGCGCGAAGCCAACCUCAAGAUGAGUUCUCCCAUCCCGCACGCAAGUGACGGGGGUAAGAUCCCAUCAAGACCAGGUGGUUGAUAGGCCGGGUGUGUAAGUGCAGCGAUGCAUUCAGCUGACCGGUACUAAUAGAUCGAGGGCUUGACCUAA